rnacentral:lncRNA from 1 species
UGUUGUUGUUGUUGUUGUUGUUGUAUCUUAUCAGUUUUCUCGUUAUUGUUAUUGUGCCUUUAUCAUAAUUAUUAAAAUAGCAGCCUAAUUUAAAUUGAUUUUCCUAAUUUAUUUAAAUUCUAGCCAAUUUGUAUGCAACUUAUGUCAAUUUUAGCCAAUCUGACAUUAAUUCUAAUUUUUAACUCAUUUAAGAUUAUUCUAAUCUCAGUCGUUGAUCAAAAGUGAUCCAGCGGCUGAGAUCGGAUCAACCCUUCUUCCCUUUUAAACAAAAUCCAAACCCUAACUCUUACUCAGCCUUACCUACCAGUCAUACCCCCUUUUCUUUCUCUACCUUCUCUCUUUCCUAUUUCCUUUCUCACUGGUGCUCCUCUCUCCUAUUUUUCGUGAAAACAGCCAUGGACACCCCUAACCAGCGCACCCAGACCGGCGAGCAGUGUCGUACCUUCCUCUCUCAACCGGCCUAAGCCGUCGCUGCCUCACCCGCUACUCUACCGGUGAAAUACGCCGGUGAACCCCACUGUUGUUGCUGACCGCUGCUUCACUCCAUUCUUUUUCUCCAGCCGUGAUUCCAUCUGGACAGCCACCAGCCAUGAGCAGCUGUUCCAGCCACCAUCAGCCGGCAAUCCCGCUACCCAACCAUCGGAGCUCCGCCGCUCCAGCCUUCGCCACCUUGAAACAUCCAGCUAAGCCAGCCAGCAUCACUCCUUCAUGAUUCACCAUGACUGGCCAGCCAGUCAAACAGCGGAACUACCCCAUGUGCCACAUCUCAUUUCCGUUUAAGAUCUGGCCGGAAAAGCCUUUGUAGACAAAAUAUCGGCCAAAAAUCACUGUUAUCUCUCUUACUUUGAUUGAUUUCUAGUUGUUGCUUUAUCAAUUUUUGUUAUUUUCAGUUAUGCUUGAUGAACAAAUUUAGUUUAAUUAACAUUAAUGGAUGUGUUAAAGUUUUGAUGUCGUCUGAUUAUUUUUUCAGACAUUCUUCAUCAUUACUUUGUCAUGAUUUGGCUAUCCUUCGUGUGGUCCUCUAAACUUAUUUGUGUUAAAGGUUUCUAAUGGUUGGCCAACUAUUCUUGCUGGUUAUUUGUUUCAUCUCUAGUGAUUGGUAUGUUAUAUUUGUCUUAAUUUGACAUAAAACUUGAUGUGACCUAACCCAGAAGUUGGUACUGCAUCUCAAAACUGGCUAUUAUAAUCCUAUAAUUGGCAUGUUAUUUAUGAUUUACUUCAAUCAAUUGACAUAAUCAAUUUCGAUCUGAUUACCCUCCUUCCUAAAUUACACUUACAAUAGACUUGUGUGUAAUUACGGUCGUAAUUGACGAUCCUUUGUGUUAUAGCAAUUAUUUGGUAGCAUGUGACCAUUCUGAAUGUUUGUUUAAUUUUGGUAAAUCUUCACAUUUGAGUCCCCUCAUUCCUUUUUUAAAAUUUUUGACAACUUUCAUACUGGUUAUUUAUGGUGACCUUUAAUCUAUUUUGGAUUUGUAAUCGAUUCACUACUUUAAUUUUAUUACAGCUUCUAUAACUGGUUAUGGUAACUUUUGAUUUGUUUGUGAUCCUUAAUUGAUUCAUCCCUUUGAUUAAGGGUUCAUUCAUAAAGUUUUAUGAUUCACUCUUUUAAUUUUAUUCUUUUCCUUUUAUUACUGCACUUCAUUUUGCUAUAUAAACAAUAUCCGUUUUCAUUAUUGAGGACAACUUGACUUCUACUCUGACAGACUACAUUCAUAUUCCACUUUCUAUUCUUUUAAUCUCUAAAACAAAAAGAAUUACUAGCUAUUCUGAUACAAACAAAGAAUACACAUUUCUUAAGUUGUGUGGCGUUUCUCUUCGAGUUUUAAGGAAACAUUCUGUCUAUUUAACCAUUGAUAGUUCUUUAUUUCAACAACUUUCCUAUUAUUUAGUUUUAUUUGUUGCCUAUCGGCAAGUCCUCAAAUCGAUGUAACUUUCAUUCUUUAUGUGUGCUGACUGGAUCAUGUUGUGAAAACCAUUAGAAAGCAUGUCUAUAGGAAUAUUUGAUGUUUGCUACUAUAUGUUCCUGUUUACUUGCUAUUAUAUCUUGUCUCAUAGGUUUAAAUAGACAAUUACAAGGUUCUGAAGUGUCACCGGGAUGUUUAAACUGAAUAUAUUAUUUCAUAUAGUUAGUUGUUUUUUUCUUAUUUUUUGUAUUAUUUGGUUUGUAAUAUUAUUGUUAAGACAUUAUUAUUGUAAUAAUAAUUUUGGGGACUACUUCGGAGGACGGGGACUUGUGUGCUCUAUGACUCGGGUAGGCUAACAUGAUUUAGAUCUACGUGCUUUAUAUGCUACGGAAAUUGCCUAGACAACAUAAUAUAGGAUUU